rnacentral:rRNA from 1 species
AGAGUUUGAUCCUGGCUCAGAACGAACGCUGGCGGCGUGGAUAAGACAUGCAAGUCGAGCGCUGAUUACGGGGUAGCAAUAUUUCGUAGUCGGAGCGGCGCAAGGGUGCGUAACACGUGGGUAAUCUGCCGUGAAGCUUGGAAUAACUCGCUGAAAGGCGAGCUAAUACCGAAUGCGACUUCUAGGGGGCACCUCUGGAAUUCAAAGCUGGGGACCGUAAGGCCUGGCACUUCACGAUGAACCCGCGGCCUAUCAGCUAGUUGGUGAGGUAACGGCCCACCAAGGCUAAGACGGGUAGCUGGUCUGAGAGGACGACCAGCCACACUGGAACUGAGGCACGGUCCAGACACCUACGGGUGGCAGCAGUCGAGAAUUUUUCACAAUGGGCGAAAGCCUGAUGGAGCGACGCCGCGUGGGGGAUGAAUGGCUUCGGCCCGUAAACCCCUGUCAUUCGGGAUCAAUGCGUCUGGGUGAAUAUCCCAGACGUUGAUAGUACCGGAAGAGGAAGGGACGGCUAACUCUGUGCCAGCAGCCGCGGUAAUAC